rnacentral:piRNA from 1 species
UCAUGGAGGAGUCGCCCGAGCAGGCACAGC